UACGGAGGAUCCAAGCGUUAUCCGGAUUUAUUGGGUUUAAAGGGUGCGUAGGCGGACUAGUAAGUCAGUGGUGAAAGCCUGUCGCUUAACGACAGAACUGCCACUGAUACUGCUAAUCUUGAGUAUAAUUGAAGUGGGCGGAAUGUGUCGUGUAGCGGUGAAAUGCUUAGAUAUGACACAGAACACCGAUUGCGAAGGCAGCUCACUAAACUAUAACUGACGCUGAGGCACGAAAGCGUGGGGAUCAAACAGG
rnacentral:rRNA from 1 species